AUCUAACGCCCGACCUGCUCGAGAUGGUAAAACGCGGGAAAGAAAAAAACAUGGAAUUCAAAGAUCGAUGUUAACAUUGUUCUUGUGACAUUCACGGACACGUUUAGAGGGUCCACAUGAUCAUCGUUGUCGAACUGGGUGCCCAUGACCUCCUUCUCUCAUUCUGCAGUGACAUCCUCUUGUAAAGCGACCUGUUCUUCACAAGUUGCUGCCUGGUGAUGCUGCUGCUGAUGAUAACAGCCAAAUGCUGCUGCAGUUUGUGCCUGGUGAUGCUGCUGCUGAUGAUUACAUACACCCUGCUGCUGCAGUUGGUGUCAGGUGGUGAUGCUGCUGAUGAUGACAGUCAAAUGCUGCUGCAGUUGAUGCAUGAUGAUGGUGCUGUAUUAUACAUGUUCAUACCUAGGCAAUUGCAAACUUAAAAUUUGACCAUAAAAUAACUUUAACUGGACUAUCAUUCAAUGUCUGGUAAAUAAUGCAAGAAAGAUUUUUAGACUUUUAAUUUUUGUUUUAGACUUUAAAUCUGUUAUUUAAUAGGAAAUCAUUUAAAUUUGUUCAUGAUACAUGGGUUAUUGCCAUAACAGUUUGAGUGUUGAAAAGAAUUGCAGUAAAAAUAUUGUUGACAUUUGUUAUGUUGAUGAAGAGACUUUAAAUGAUUAGUUUAAACAUAUUUAUUUUAGCUCGAUUGCAUUGAAAGCCUCAGGCUUAUUGAAAGGCUCUAAGAGUUUGUUUCCUGGGCCUAGAACCAGUACUUGGUGUCUUUUGGGGGAGAUUUAAAGAACGCUCCAACAGUGGGGAUUGUACCCAUAAUUCCCGGCCACUAGGCGGACACUAUAUCUAUUACACCACGGCGACUGCCUUAUUUGCUGUUUUAGGGACAUAAUGUAUGACCUAUUAUUUCAGGUGUCUUUCUGUCAUAUCCAUGUUCACAUGUUUAGAUGUUUAAUUCAGAAAUGCAGCUGACAAGUUGAAUUGAUUGAACAUGAUCCUGUCUCACCAAGACCAGUAGCUAUGAGCUGAGCCUGAUCCUGUCUCACUAAGACCAGUAUCUGUGAGCUGAGCCUGAUCCUGUCUCACCAAGACCAGUAGCUGUGAGCUGAGCCUGAUCCUGUCUCACUAAGACCAGAAUCUGUGAGCUGAGCCUGAUCAUCUUGUGCACGUUCUCAUGUAGAAAGAAAGCUACCACGAGAUUGCUGAUUGGGACAUUUUGAGAUAAUUCAUUAGGAUUGAAGCUCUCUUUGAUGUCCAUUAUUUGAAAAAUUAUUAGCUUUAUGGGAAUCAUGUUUGUUUUUACAUACAACUGACUAUUAAAUACAAUAGACUUCUA